AAAAAAACAAAAGAUUUUUAAUUGGUUUUAAUAUGGAAGAACAACAUUGUUUUUAAUUUAAUUACUUUAUAUUUCUAAUUAAUGAUUGAGUUUUGAUUAUAUUGAUUCAAUUGGGCCAGGUGGCUAAUUUCAAUCCUAAACUUUUUUCAUCAUCACAUUAGCCACCUCACAUAUAAAAUUUCUUAUUGUGCACCAAAAAAAAAAAUAAAGAUUCUUACAAAAUAAAUAAAUCUAACUAAAAAAAAUAUUAUUGACUCAAGGUCCCUAAACUUACACUGAUUAAGCAAGGUCUCUCAAUUUAAAUAUGGUGGUUGAGGGAUCAAAAAUACACAGUUGAAAAUUAAGGGACUACAAGUGCACAAAUACGAAACUUUAGGGACCGUAUUUGUGCUUUACUCUUACUUUAAUCCGCCUCCGUUGAAAAUGGGCAGUUGCGAUAAUACAGCAAACCCUAAGACAGAUACUUCCUCAGUGCUCCAGAUUAUUCUUCUCGGAGAAUAAAGCUCUGCGAAAACGGGAUGUGUAACAGUGUUGAAAACUGCUCUGAAGAGCUGGCCUAUCCGUUCCAUUGAGUUAUGGCAUGAGGUGGUAUUUUGGUGAGGGAGGCUCAUGAGAGACUUAAGCCAAUGGGCACUGUGUUUGUAAGACUGGUUCGGUCGCUCGGAUAUUGCUUGGAUCAAACCGCUUGCAACUGCACAGUUCCGAAGUGGAAGGUUAAGUGGGUAACUACUACGGAGUAACUAGCUAUUGUUGAGUAUUUUCAGAGGUCUUGGCCUGCACAGGUCUGUUGUCAAAUUCAGAACAACGUUUAUAUCAUUGUAUAGUCUGUAGAGGCAAACAUAUAUUCUGGAAUUUCAAUGAAUGAUUAUGAUCACUGGUUUCUUGGGUCUUCUGUGUAGAAAUCUGUUCUUUUCAAUGGGGUGAUAAUAUAUGCUGUGCUUAAUUAUUGGCUUAAAUCUUAUAUAUGCUUGCCUUCUGUCAUUUUAUAGCAUUUUCGAGACUUUGUGAUGCAUUUGUGAAAAUUUUCAAAAUGCCUUAUUAGUUUAAAAAAAAAUAAGUGAAUGUUACCAUAUGUCUGUUAUGAUAACAAGCAUUAGGUUUAAAGGAUUAGUAAAAGUAUCAAUAGUUGCUAUGUACUGGUAACAUAUGGAAGGAUUAGGGUCAUUUGUGGGAAACAGCCUCUAUGGAUUUCCACUGGUAGCCUUAACCUAAUUUGCAUAAAUACAUUAUACGGAGUAAUAGAAUAACGCCUUAUUUGGUUUGAUGUAAAAUAUUUUCAUAGAAAAUGAUUUUCCCAUUUUCCUUUAUUUGGUUGUGAAGGGGCGGAAAAUAAUUUUCCCAAUGGUGGAAAGCAUUUUCUUUUACAAAACAAGAGAAGCCAACUUUGCCUCCCCUUUUCCUUACCUCCUUUUUACUUUCCUCUCUUCCAUCCUUACACUUCCAAACCUAUAUUUUUUUAUUUCUCUAUAACUUUUCUUGAUGGUACCAAACAAAGGAAACUAAUUUGCAAUUUUGGUUUUCCUUGAAAAUGUUUUCCAUGAAAACUAAUUUUCCAUUGAAGAUAUUUUACAUCAAACCAAACGGGGCCUAAAUGAAAAAUUGUUGAUGUAAAUUUUAUUGAUGAGCUAUUAAAUUCUCAGGUCGAUUUGAUUUGUUCGAGUAAAGAAAUUUUCGACUCAGCUUGGCUUGGGUUGAAUCUUUACUUUGCUUGAUCUGAUUGUUUGAAGGCUACCAGUGGACUGCUUGAUCUAGGGUAAUGCACAGUUAAUCAAACUCCUGUUUGAUUAGUAGGAUCACCAUUAAUUCAAAGUCUAGUAAAACCAUUGGUAAUGAAGCACAAAGCCCACUUCAUUUGUUGUAUAAAGUGCGUAGCAGCAUAGUAUGACUGAGAAAUUGUAGUCAACUAGUCACCUAGGAAUCCAUAAUAAUGCCUCUCGAAGAUUAUAAAUUACCUCUUUAAAUAUGUCUACAAAAAGAAUGGCUGAUGCAAUGAUGAUUCAUCAGUAAGAUGUAAGAUGUAAUCUGUAAUCACUUGGGGCUUUUUUUUUUUUUUUUUUUUUGGUGUUUAGAGAGCCACAAGGAUGAGUGACGAUAAUCGAUUUUAGGUUCACCUGGAACCAUGAAGAGGGGCUUUGGUUUGUUUUAUGUGUACAUUUACCUUCAUAUAUGUAUCUAUGCACAAGUACUUAUAUUUAUUUAUUUAUUUUUUCUAUAAAAGCUCUUUGUGCUUUGUCAGAAUGGUAAUUUGGUUUUGGCUGUGAUUAUAAUGUUUUGAUUUGUAAGGAUUAACACAGUAUCAUGUAUAAUACAAAAAAGAAUAGCCAGGCUGUAUGUGUUUUUGUGCAUAUUUUUUUUUUUCUUGAUGUGAUUUAGUUCUCUAUUACAAACCUUUGGAUGAUAUACUCCUAAUACAUUUAUAUGGAGAAGAAACUGAUUAGUUUUUGUUGAGACGAAGUCAUAGAUUUGUAGUUUUGCAUCUGAAGACAAUUUUGAUGCAGAAGCACUAUGAUAGAACAAAGGGCAAAAUUCUAUUUACAUUUCAUGUUUACGCUAGCUAGGUUUGAUUAUAAGCAUAGCUCCUUGACCCUUCAAAUAUUCGUUUUGUCUAAUACAAAUGAUGAAAGGAUGUAUAAGUGCACUACAAUACUACAUCACAUCUUAAUCCUCUGAUUAUUUUGCCUUGGAUCCAUUUUGGUCUGAUUGGAGAAUAUAGGAUUUUCAAAGAAAUUUGUUGCUCAAAUAACAGCUAAACAUACAUACGCUGCUCUAUCUGCAGUGUUGUGACCUUUUCUAAUAUUCGCUGCAGUUUUUGUUUAAGGUUGGGCUAUCUCUCUGGUAUGCAAAGGAAGGAGGUUCAUCCUAGGUGCUUGAGAAAUUUUCUGGCAUAACCUUGCCCAAUGAAAAAUCAGUCCUAGUCCUAUUAUGGCGUACAUGGUAUAGAGAGUGUGGUGUUGGGCUGAGCUAGGGAAGAGGAGGGACCCUAGAGAUGUCAAUGUCAGUGCCCCAAAUAUAAUCAUCAUUUCUUGACAAAUCUCUUGGUAAGGCUUAGUUUUUGGUGGUGAUGAUGGUAAGGGUAUUGUUGAGGGCAGAGAUGGCGAUGGCGUAGACAUCAAUGAUAGUGGUGGUUGCGACGAUGAAGGUGAUGUUGGUGGGGGAGUGGAUGACACAGAGGUUGUCAAUGGUGGUGAUGGUCUUAAGCAAGCAGCGUAGGCCCAACAAUAUAGCAAAAGCCAAACAAUAGAGACUAGAAUAGUGUUAGGGUUAGUGGAAAAGGGGGAAAUUGCAUGAUCACCUUGACUUUUCAACUGAAGCAAGCUAAGAAAGAAUGUGGAUAUGAAGAUAAAGAUGGUGUUUAAGGCCUUUGGAUUGAACAAUUUUGGCUCAAUAAAUGGUGUUUGUUGAUGCCCUUGAUGGACGUUGUUGGGAGUCAUGUGGAAGUUGCAAAUUACUAUCUGCUGGAAAUUUGGCCGGUUUUGACCACUUAUUUGCUCCAUCUUAGACUGAAAGGGUUGCUGUAGGAAAAGAGUGGGAGAUUGUUGAUGUUGGUUUUAUGACGCUUUUUUCUUUAGGGGGUAGAUUUUAUAUGUUAUGUGACUUGUUAUAUUAGGCGUCAAUGUGACACCUUUCAAAAAAAAAAAAGGCGUCAAAUGUACUGAUAGUCUGAUAUAGUCUAGUUUAAUUCCAAAAAUUCGGCUACUAAAAAUUCAAGUUGCUCAAAAAAAAAAAAAAAAAAUUCAAAAAGGCCACUAAAAAUUCGAGUUGAUAAAAAAAAAAAAACAAAAAAAUUUCCAAAAAGUCCAAGCUUGAAGCUUCCGGAAGAGUGUCCUUCCACCUCAUGAUACGGGAUAACGGAUUAACGGGAAGAGUGUAGUUGAGUUGACUACUUGUUAGUUGUUACCUUACCAAGUUACCAUAGUAUGCCGACUUGGGCCUUCGUUUAGAGAGAGCCUUUUCAUUGAAAAUCCAAAUUCAUUGGCAAAUAAAUAUAGACUUGGGCCUAUUGCCUUGGUCCAUCUUAGGAAAUAAGAGCGAUCUAUUUGAUGAUUCUAUGUACUUAAAUCUUAACCAAGCAACAAGAUUAACUAACUUGUUCAUCUACUAGUUUGGAUAAUUAUAAAUGCGAGGAAAUUUUGAUUUUUACCACCUUCAAAUAACGACUUUAUUGAAUUUACCACCUCCAAAAAAAAAAGAUUUACUUUACCACCUCAUAAAAAAAUUAAACAUCAGUUUUCCCACCUAAGCCUAACUUCGGUGACGGAAACCGCCAAAGGGGCCCGCCAUAACAGCUAGUUUUUGAAAUUAUCCCCAAAUUCUCCCGAUUUCCCAUUGAUUUAAACCUAACUUCUUCAUUUCUACAUCUAUUUCGUGAAGAUUGAAGUUUUUUUUUGCCAUUUUCUUCACAAAUUCUGAUUUUGGGUGAUCCUUAACAAUCCCACAUCCUCAAAUUAUCAAAUUAUUGAAGAUUGUACUCGGCCCUGAAUCAAUUGAACUGUUCGACGACAAACAGCGAAAAGGUUCAGGAAACAGAAAUUGAAGCAGCUCAGGUACGAGUAAUUGUUGUUGCUCAUCCACGGAUUCGGUAUUUAUAAGAUCAAACACGUUUUUGUUUGCAAUCCUUAAGCCAUUAAGGAUACAAAUCAGACCAAAAACCAAGCUAUAAGCAAAUUAUAAGAUGAACUUUGGCUCAUUUACUACCCAAAUUAAGGAUUUGUAAAGAAAAUUGCAAAAAAAAAAAACUUCAAUCUUCAACAAUUUGAUGUGGAGAUGAAGAAGGUUGUUUAAAUAGGAGGAAAAUCGAGAGAAUUUGGGGAUAAUUUCAAAAACUAGCUGUUAUGGCGGGCCCCACUGGUGGUUUCCGUCACCAGAGUUAGGCUUAGGUGGGAAAACUAAUGUUUAAUUUUUUUUAUAAGGUGGUAAAGUAAAUCUUUUUUUUUUGGAGGUGGUAAAUUCAAUAAAGUUGUUAUUUGAAGGUGGUAAAAAUCAAAAUUUCCUAAAUGCGAAGCAGAAAGGAAAAUUUGUCAAAAGGAUCCUUUUUAAGUAGACUUUUUAUGUGAGAAGGGUUAUUUUAUUUAAAAAGUUAACAAAUUGAAACCUUACAUGAAUUUAUUUUCGUGAAAAGGGACCGGAUGAAUUCAAGCUUUCACUUGAUUUAUUUGGUGUUGACCCUCGUAUGCAGAGCAUGUUGCCUCGUUUUUAUCUCUUUAUCACCUCCCCAACUAUCAUGUUAACUAUCAUCCCACGAUUAGCCCACCACCACUCACCCGUCACC